rnacentral:lncRNA from 1 species
CAUGCCACCAACCAGGUGAUGAAAUGUACAACCCGUACUCUAAUAUCAUUUGGCAACUUGCCAUUCAUGUCACCAACCAGGUGAAGAAGGAACUCAUCCUCGUGCCACCAACCAGGUGAGGAAAUGUGAUGAAAGGUGAUGAAGGAACUCACUUUCGUACCAUCAACCAAGUGAUGAAAGCAACUCACCAUUCAUUCCACCUACCAGAAGAGAGUGGUACAACUUGUACAUGUGAACUCCUAGCAUUCACAUAUAAUCAAAAACCCUCAAGCUCAACAACUCAACUAGGGGAGCCCUUAUGCCCAACAAGAGUUAUAGUCACCAACAAAGUCUUAU